UUGGAGGGCAAGUCUGGUGCCAGCAGCCGCGGUAAUUCCAGCUCCAAUAGCGUAUAUUAAAGUUGUUGCAGUUAAAAAGCUCGUAGUUGAAUUUCGGGAUCAAAUUGUUGGUCGUGCUUCAGUACGCACUGGCAUUAUUGGUUCUUACCUUCUGAAGAACCGCGAUGUCAUUAAUUUGGUGUCGUGGGGAAUCAGGACUGUUACUUUGAAAAAAUUAGAGUGUUUAAAGCAGGCGCACGCCUGAAUACAUUAGCAUGGAAUAAUGAAAUAGGACGUUUGAUUCUACUUUGUUGGUUUCUAGGAUCGACGUAAUGAUUAAUAGGGAUAGUUGGGGGCAUUAGUAUUCAAUUGUCAGAGGUGAAAUUCCUGGAUUUAUUGAAGACUAACUACUGCGAAAGCAUUUGCCAAGGAUGUUUUCAUUAAUCAAGAACGAAAGUUAGGGGAUCGAAGACGAUCAGAUACCGUCGUAGUCUUAACCAUAAACUAUGCCGACUAGGGAUCGGAUGAUGUUAAUUUUUUAAUGACUCAUUCGGCACCUUACGGGAAACCAAAG
rnacentral:rRNA from 1 species